GAGUCUAGCCCCAGGAAUGGUGUCAACAGCAACGCAAGAGCAAGAAGAUGAGUUUAGAGCUCUCCUAUUGAGAUGGGGUUACGUGAACCUCAUUCCACAUUGGGUAGUGGGGACAGCAAGAGGAGAAAUGCUGUCACCUACCACAGGUGCCUCUGCAUUGCUUGCAGGCCUCCACCGCCCCCAUCUUCCCUACAGACUAUCAAAGGAAUUAGGAUUUGGAAGGAUGGAUGCACAGAGCACCUAACGUUUAAAUCUUUACGCAGCUUUUACUCCCAGUCAGGAGACCAACAGCAAGCCCAGGCACUGAAAUCUCCUGCCUCCUAUUUGCUCACGUCCCCUCCUUGUCAAGUGGUAGGAAAGACCCAGGUCAAAGUCUUACAGGACUGUGGUAAGCGGUGUGUGACCCCAUCCCCAGGGACACUCAUUUUGUACCCUGUUUCACUGCAGAAGUCCCCUGGCUGUGGGUUUUUUGUUUUUUUUUUUUGGCGGGGGCAGGGGGGAGAGGGGCAGGUUUGGGCCCAAAGAAAUUACAUUCUCUCAUUGUUUGACACACGGGUAAAGGAAAAGCAUGGAAAACAUCAGCCCACUUUUUUAUGCUACACCAAAAAGGAUGAAGCAGAUGUUUUUAAGUAAACAUGGGCUCUUGUUAUGCAUUUUUGAGAAGUCAAGAGAAGCUUUUUCAGAAGCAGGAGUAGCCCAUGAAUUUAAAGGAGUUUUAAAUACUGUACUUUCCCAUAAAGCUAUAAAACUCUGGCAGAAAGCUCAGCAGCCAAUCAAUGAGGAAUGAACCUGAGCAUGUUAUAACUCAGAUUACCAAUAAAAAUGUCAGGCUGAAAUCA
rnacentral:lncRNA from 1 species